GGGGUUGUGGCUCAGUGGUAGAGUGCUUACCUAGAAUGCAUGAGGCACUGGGUUCGAUCCUCAGCAACCCGU
rfam:Ictidomys tridecemlineatus contig074869, whole genome shotgun sequence.